rnacentral:lncRNA from 1 species
GAAGGAUUUUGGUGGGGAGGGGAGGGGGGGACACACUGCAUUUCGUUGGCCUUGCAAGGCUAAAAGGAGACAUGCCGAGCUGGCUGAAGAGCAACAAAAAAAAAAAGUCCACUUUGAACAGAUGGACAGACAGGAGAGACUGUUAAAAAUACUUUAGGGGCCCUUGACCUGUGUGUGGGCUAAACCAACAGGUGUAGAAAAUGUCUUUGUCUAUGUGUGGGAUCAGGCAGUUAGAAGAAAAGGGAAAAUCUGCACUUGUUAUUUGGGGGUCAUGUCUGAUUCUUGCAUGAUAUCCCACAUUAACUGCACAGUGAGAGACCUCAGAGAACAAAAAGAUUAAGCAUGGAAGUAAACCUUUGAGUUUGCUGUACCAUUAGACAACACAGUAAUAAAGCAAUUACAGAAAGAUACAGCAUGUACACAGUAUGCACAAACAUUUUGAAUUAAGAACGCUAUGCCAACUUAUCAUUACAUUUUAAAUAUAAUUAAAAUGUUAUUGGGAAUAUGUAAUAUGAUUGGUCAUUUACCCACAAAAAUCCAGAUGCUCUUAAAAUGAGUGUUGAAAAUGAAAUUCAGUUCAGCAUGCAAGGACAAACAUACCAUGGCAUGGAUAAUAAAUAGCAUUUCACAAAAACAAGGUGUAAUGUUUAAAAUUUAAGAAUGACACAGGACGAAAGGAAAACAAUUCAACAACAUUUUACAAGCGCACAUAAUCUGCUAUAUAUACAAUAUGUAGGUACACAUAGAGUAGAUUUUUUAAAAUUGAUUAUACUGAGUGGUUUUUGACCUGGUUCUUGUGUGUGUGCCUGCCCUACAGCUGGCCAUGAGGGGACCCCCUGGGCCGAUGGGUUUGACAGGAAGAUCUGGGCCAGUGGGUCUUCCUGGUAAUUCUGGACUGAAAGGUGAAGGUGGAGACCCUGGUCCUCAGGUGAGUAAGAAGUUAGGAUCUGAAUAAUAAUGCAUGAAAAUAACCCUCACCAGUGAAUGAAGGCCACAUUCCAAGUUACAAGUUCUGUUCGUCACUAAGUGAUCCUCCUGUGUCUAUACAGGGCCCCCGUGGCAUCCAGGGGCCUCCAGGACAACCUGGCAAAGCUGGCAAGAGGGUGAGUGAACUCAACGACCUGCUCCUCUCACUGUGCUGUGUGUGUGUGUGUGCUCACAUGUCUCUGUAUUUGUUGUUGUGUGGUUGUUUGUACUUG